CCUACGUGAGGCAGCAGUGGGGACUAUUGGGCAAUGGGCGCAAGCCUGACCCAGCAACGCCGCGUGAAGGAAGAAGGCUUUCGGGUUGUAAACUUCUUUUCUCAGGGACGAAGCAAGUGACGGUACCUGAGGAAUAAGCCACGGCUAACUACGUGCCAGCAGCCGCGGUAAUACGUAGGUGGCAAGCGUUAUCCGGAUUUACUGGGUGUAAAGGGCGUGUAGGCGGGAAAGCAAGUCAGAUGUGAAAACCAUGGGCUCAACCUGUGGCCUGCAUUUGAAACUGUUUUUCUUGAGUACUGGAGAGGCAGACGGAAUUCCUAGUGUAGCGGUGAAAUGCGUAGAUAUUAGGAGGAACACCAGUGGCGAAGGCGGUCUGCUGGACAGCAACUGACGCUGAGGCGCGAAAGCGUGGGGAGCAAACAGGAUUAGAUACCCCAGUAGUC
rnacentral:rRNA from 1 species